UACAGAGGGUGCGAGCGUUAAUCGGAAUUACUGGGCGUAAAGCGUGCGUAGACGGUUAUUUAAGUCGGGUGUGAAAGCCCCGGGCUCAACCUGGGAAUUGCAUUCGAGACUGAAUAGCUAGGGUACGGUAGAGGGAAGUGGAAUUUCCGGUGUAGCGGUGAAAUGCGUAGAUAUCGGAAGGAACAUCAGUGGCGAAGGCGCCGCUCUGGGCCGUAACUGACGCUGAGGAGCGAAAGCAUGGGUAGCAAACAGG
rnacentral:rRNA from 1 species